AAAUAUACAAUAAAUUUUUAAUUUUAUGAAUUAUUAUAUAUAUUUUUUAAAAUAAUAUUUAAAAUAAAAAUUUUUAGUAUUUUAAAUGAAAAUUUUUAUAAUUAAUAUUUUUAGUAUUGUAAAAGAAAUAAUUUAUUUAUUUAAAUUAAAAUUUUAUUAAUUUUUACCUUUUGUAUCAGGGUUUAUUAAAAUAUUAUUAUAAAUUUAAUAUUCUCGAAAUAAAAUGAUUUAUAUUUAAAUAUUUAGUUAAUGUAUAAAUAUUAUUAAAAAUUUAAAUAUAGAGAUAAAAUAUUAUUCAAAUUUUAUUAUAUCUAGUUAUUUUAUAAAUAAAUUUAAUUUAAAAUUUUUAAAAUUUAUUAACUUUUUUUUUUAAUUUAAUAAAUUUAAAAAUUAAAUAUUAUAAGGGAUUAACUUUAUAAUAUUUUUAAUAUUUAAAAUUUUUAUAUUUUUUUUUAGAAAUAAAAAUUUUUAAAAAUAAAUAAUUUGUAAUAAUUAAUAAUUAAAAAUAAAAAUUUUAAAAAAAAUUUAAUAAAUUAUAAAAUUAAAUUUAUUAAUAUAUUAUAAAUUUAAAUAAUGAUAAAAUUAGUAAAUUUAAUUAAAUAAAUAUAAUUAAUAAAUAUAUUUAUAAGGUAAUAUUAAGGAAUUAGGCAAAAAUUUUUAUUCAACUGUUUAAUAAAAACAUUGUUUAUUGAUAAUAAUAUUAAAUAAUUUCUGCUCAAUGGUUUAAACUAAAUAGCUGCAGUAUAUUGACUGUACAAAGGUAGCAUAAUCAUUUGUCUUUUUAAUGAAGUCUAGAAUGAAUGAAUUCAUGAAAUAAAAACUGUCUCAAUAUUAAAAAUUUAACUUUAUUUUAAGUAAAAAUUCUUAAAUAAAAUUAAAAGACGAGAAGACCCUAUAGAAUUUUAUAUAAAUUAAAUAAUAUAGAUUUUAUAUAAUUUAUAUUAUUUUAAAAUAUUUUAUUGGGGUGAUAUAAAAAUUUAAUUAAUUUUUUAAUUUUAUAAUCAUAAAAAUAUGAAUUUUAAAUCCAUUAUUAAUGAAAAUUAAAUAAAUUACCUUAGGGAUAACAGCGUAAUUUUUUUAGAGAGAUCAUAUUGAUAAAAAAGAUUGCGACCUCGAUGUUGAAUUAAGAUAAAAUUUUAAUGUAGAAAUUAAAAAUUUUAAGUCUGUUCGACUUUUAAAAUCUUACAUGAUUUGAGUUUAGAUCGGCGUGAGCCAGAUCGGAUUCUAUCUUUAAUAAUCUAAAAUAUUUUUGUACGAAAGGACUUUAUAUUUUUAAUAAUUAAUAUUUAAUUGAAUAAAAUUAAUUUU
rnacentral:rRNA from 1 species